rnacentral:rRNA from 1 species
AGCUCCAAUAGCGUAUAUUAAAGUUGCUGCAGUUAAAAAGCUCGUAGUUGCAUUUCCGAGGCAAGGGAUUAGUCCGACCUUUGGUGGGUAUUUAAUCCUCUUGCCUCGUCCUUGAGUGGUGCUUCUUGGUAUUAAGUUAUCGAGGAGAUAGCCGCUCAUCGUUUACUGUGAGAAAAUUAGAGUGUUCAAAGCAGGCUUAUGCCGUUGAAUAUAUUAGCAUGGAAUAAUAAGAUAGGACCUCGGUACUAUUGUGUUGGUUUGAGAACCAAGGUAAUGAUGAAUAGGGACAGUUGGGGGUAUUCGUAUUCAGUUGUCAGAGGUGAAAUUCUUAGAUUUACGGAAGACGAACUACUGCGAAAGCAUUUACCAAGGAUGUUUGCA